AUGGGUUGUCAUGAUGGCAUCAACAUCCCCGAUGGAAAGUUCUACCUUGGAGAUGCUGGCUAUGCAUGUAGACCAGGUGUUCUUCCGCCCUUCAGGAAAACCAGGUACCAUAUGAAUGAGUUUGCUGGUAGGAACUAUCCUAGGACUCCUCAGGAACUGUUCAAUCUCAGAAACUCCGGCCUUAGAGUGACUACUGAGAGGGCCUUUGGAGCUUUGAAGAACAUGUUUAAGAUCCUGGAUCAGAAGCCAUUACACCCUUACCCUACCCAGGUGAAGCUUGUUCUUGCAUGCUGCAUCAUUCACAAUUGGAUCCUGCAAUGGGGAGUUGAUGAAUUUGUGCCGGAGGAGGAAGAUGUGACUCCUGAUGAGGUGAUCAGCUCCGACCAUGGUGUGGAGGCAUUCGACAACAAAGCGUGGAAGAACAAAAAGUCAAAGUGGGCUCAGGCAAUGUGGGAUAAUAGAGGUCAGACAAGAAUCAGAAGCAUAAGAACAAGAGGA
rnacentral:rRNA from 1 species